rnacentral:rRNA from 3 species
CCUACGGGAGGCAGCAGUAGGGAAUCUUCCGCAAUGGACGAAAGUCUGACGGAGCAACGCCGCGUGAGCGAUGAAGGCCUUCGGGUCGUAAAGCUCUGUUGUCAGGGAAGAACAAGUACCGGAGUAACUGCCGGUACCUUGACGGUACCUGACCAGAAAGCCACGGCUAACUACGUGCCAGCAGCCGCGGUAAUACGUAGGUGGCAAGCGUUGUCCGGAAUUAUUGGGCGUAAAGCGCGCGCAGGCGGUUCCUUAAGUCUGAUGUGAAAGCCCCCGGCUCAACCGGGGAGGGUCAUUGGAAACUGGGGAACUUGAGUGCAGAAGAGGAGAGCGGAAUUCCACGUGUAGCGGUGAAAUGCGUAGAGAUGUGGAGGAACACCAGUGGCGAAGGCGGCUCUCUGGUCUGUAACUGACGCUGAGGCGCGAAAGCGUGGGGAGCGAACAGGAUUAGAUACCCUGGUAGUCCACGCCGUAAACGAUGAGUGCUAAGUGUUAGAGGGUUUCCGCCCUUUAGUGCUGCAGCAAACGCAUUAAGCACUCCGCCUGGGGAGUACGGCCGCAAGGCUGAAACUCAAAGGAAUUGACGG